rfam:Lyngbya majuscula 3L genomic scaffold scf52112, whole genome shotgun sequence.
CCUGGUGCUUAUAGCGCUACGGAACCACACCGACCCCAUCCCGAACUCGGAGGUGAAACGUAGCUGCGGCGAAGAUAGUUGGUGGGUAGCUGCCUGCUAAAAUAGCUCAGUGCCAGGA